rnacentral:rRNA from 1 species
AGUGAACGCUGGCGGUAGGCCUAACACAUGCAAGUCGAACGGCAGCACAGUAAGAGCUUGCUCUUACGGGUGGCGAGUGGCGGACGGGUGAGGAAUACAUCGGAAUCUACUUUUUCGUGGGGGAUAACGUAGGGAAACUUAUGCUAAUACCGCAUACGACCUACGGGUGAAAGCAGGGGAUCUUCGGACCUUGCGCGAUUGAAUGAGCCGAUGUCGGAUUAGCUAGUUGGCGGGGUAAAGGCCCACCAAGGCGACGAUCCGUAGCUGGUCUGAGAGGAUGAUCAGCCACACUGGAACUGAGACACGGUCCAGACUCCUACGGGAGGCAGAAGUGGGGAAUAUUGGACAAUGGGCGCAAGCCUGAUCCAGCCAUACCGCGUGGGUGAAGAAGGCCUUCGGGUUGUAAAGCCCUUUUGUUGGGAAAGAAAAGCAGCAGGUUAAUACCCCGCUGUUCUGACGGUACCCAAAGAAUAAGCACCGGCUAACUUCGUG